rnacentral:misc_RNA from 1 species
UUUCCGUAGGUGAACCUGCGGAAGGAUCAUUAAUGAGAACUAAGGGUAGUAGUCUCGGCUAUUACUCUGAACACUCCACCCUUUGUUUAUAUUACCUUUGUUGCUUUAGCAGGCCCGCUCUCGAGCCGCCGGCACCUGCUGGCUAGUGCCUGCUAAAGAACCUAAAACUCUUGUUAAUAAUAUUGUCUGAGUACUAUAUAAUAGCUAAAACUUUCAACAACGGAUCUCUUGGUUCUG